UGGGGAAUUUUGGACAAUGGGCGCAAGCCUGAUCCAGCAAUGCCGCGUGCAGGAAGAAGGCCUUCGGGUUGUAAACUGCUUUUGUCAGGGAAGCGGUACCUGAAGAAUAAGCACCGGCUAACUACGUGCCAGCAGCCGCGGUAAUACGUAGGGUGCGAGCGUUAAUCGGAAUUACUGGGCGUAAAGCGUGCGCAGGCGGUUGUGCAAGACAGGUGUGAAAUCCCGGGCUUAACCUGGGAACUGCACUUGUGACUGCACGGCUAGAGUACGGUAGAGGGGGAUGGAAUUCCGCGUGUAGCAGUGAAAUGCGUAGAUAUGCGGAGGAACACCGAUGGCGAAGGCAAUCCCCUGGACCUGUACUGACGCUCAUGCACGAAAGCGUGGGGAGCAAACAGGAUUAGAUACCCCUGUAGU
rnacentral:rRNA from 1 species